ACGAACGCUGGCGGCAGGCCUAACACAUGCAAGUCGAAGCGCCCUAGCAAUAGGGAGCUGGCGCACGGGUGAGUAACGCGUGGGAAUUUUACCCUGACUACGGAACAACCCAGGGAAACUUCGGGCUAAUACCGUAUAAUAUCGAGAUCAAAGAUUUAUCGGCUCAGGGGAUGAGCCCGCGUCAGAUUAGGUAGUUGGUGGGGUAACUGGCCUACCAAGGCACCGAUCUGUAGCUGGUCUGAGAGGACUGAUCAGCCACACUGGAACUGAGACACGGUCCCAGACUCCUACGGGAGGCAGCAGUGGGGAAUCUUGCGACAAUGGGGCGAAACCCUGACUCAGCCAUGCCGCGUGAGUGAAGAAGGUCUUAGGGAUUGUAAACUCUUUUCGCUCGUGACGAUGAUGACGGUAACGAUCAGAAAAGCUCCCGGCUAACUUCGUGCCAGCAGCCGCGGUAAUACGAAGGGAGCGAGCGUUGUUCGGAAUUACUGGGCUUAAAGCGCGCGUAGGCUGGAUUGGCUAAGUCAGGAGUGAAAUCCAGGAGCUCAACCUUAGGAAUUGCUCUUUGGACUGCUAGUCUUGAGGAUCGGGAGAGGUGAGUGGAAUUCCCAGUGUAGAGGUGAAAUUCGUAGAUAUUGGGAAGAACACCGGUGGCGAAGGCGCUCAACUGGUCCGCAUUCUGACACUGCAGCGCGAAAGCGUGGGUAGCAAACAGGAUUAGAUACCCUGGUAGUCCACGCCGUAAACGAUGAUUGCUAGCUGUCGGCAGUCUUAGGCUUGUCGGUGCCGCGAGCUAACUCAUUAAGCAACUCCGCCUGGGGAGUACGGUCCGCAAGAUUAAAACUCAAAGGAAUUGACGGGGACCCGCACAAGCGGUGGAGCAUGUGUUAAUUCGACGCAACGCGCAGAACCUUACCUACCCUUGACAUGUCCCGUGACCGGGCCGAGAGAUUGGACUUCCUCAGUCGGAUGGGCCUGGAACACAGGUGCUGCAUGGCUGUCGUCAGCUCGUGUCGUGAGAUGUUGGGUUAAGUCCCGCAACGAGCGCAACCCUUGCAUCGUCAGUUGCCAUCAGGUUAAGUUGGGCACUCUGACGAGGACUGCCGGCUGCAAGCCGGAGGAAGGUGGGGAUGACGUCAAGUCCUCAUGGCCCUUACGGGCUAGGGCUACACACGUGCUACAAUGGUGGCGACAGAGGGCACAAGCGAGAGCGCGAGCUUUAGCAAAUCCUCAAAAGCCAUCUCAGUUCAGAUUGCGCUCUGCAACUCGGGCGCAUGAAGGUGGAAUCGCUAGUAAUCGCAGAACAGCAGGCUGCGGUGAAUACGUUCCCGGGCCUUGAACACACCGCCCGUCACACCAUGGGAGUUGGUUUGACCUGAAGACGGUGCGCUAACCGAAAGGGGGCAGCCGGCCACGGUCAGGUCAGCGACUGGGGUG
rnacentral:rRNA from 1 species